AACAGUCAAUAGGAAGUUCAAUUAUAACAAGGUGAACAUAUGGCGGGAUACUUUACAUGCAAGUCGAACGGCAGCACGGGCUUCGGUCUGGUGGCGGUGGCGGCGAACAGGCGAGUAAUGUAUCGGAACGUGCCUAGUAGCGGGGGAUAACUACGCGGCCAGCCAGCUAAUACCGCAUACGCCCUUCGAGGAAAGCGGGGGACCUUCGGGCCUCGCACUAUUAAACGGCCGAUAUCGGAUUCUAGCUAGUUGGUGGGGUAACGGCUCACCGGGCGACGAUCCGUAGCUGGUUUGAGAGGACGACCAGCCACUGGGACUGAGACACGGCUUGAACUCCUACGGGAGGCAGCAGUGGGGAAUUUUGGACAAUGGGGGGGAAACCUGAUCCAGCCAUCCCGCGUGUGCGAUGAAGGCCUUCGGGUUGUAAGCACUUUUAGCAGGAAAAAAACGGCACGGGAUAAUACCCCGUGCAACUGACGGCUCCUGCAGAAUAAGCACCGGCUAACUACGUGUCAGCAGCCGCGGUAAUACGUAGGGUGCAAGCGUUAAUCGGAAUUACUGGGCGUAAAGCGUGCGCAGGCGGUUCGGAAAGAAAGAUGUGAAAUCAGAGCUUAACUUUGGAACUGCGUUUUUUUAACUACCGAGCUAGAGUGUCAGAGGAGGUGGAAUUCCGCGAUAACAGUGAAAUGCGUAGAUAUGCGGAGGAACACCGAUGGCGAAGGCAGCCUCCUGGGAUAACACUGGCAGCUCAUGCACAGCGUGGGGAACAACAGGAUUGAUCACCACAGUGGUCUUGCCUAAACGAUGUCAACUAGCUGUUGAGGCCUUCGGGCAUGGUAGCGCAGCUAACGCGUGAAGUUGACCGCCUGGGGAUACGGUCGCAAGAUUAAAACUCAAAGGAAUUGACGGGGACCCGCACAAGCGGUGGAUGAUGUGGAUUAAUUCGAUGCAACGCGAAAAACCUUACCUACCCUUGACAUGUCUGGAGUCCCGAAGGGCAGGAGUGCUGCAAGAGAACCGGAACACGGGUGCUGCAUGGCUGUCGUCAGCUCGUGUCGUGAGAUGUUGGGUUAAGUCCCGCAACGAGCGCAACCCUUGUCGUGGUUGCCCGAGGGCGCGCUCGUGGACGCCGGUGACCAGCCGGAGGAAGGUGGGGAUGACGUCAAGUCUCAUGGCCCUUAUAGGUCAGGGCUUCACACGUCAUACAAUGGUCGGGACGAGAGGAGGGUCGCCAACCGCGGGAGACCAAUCGAAACGAUCGUAGUCCGGAUCGCAGUCUACAACUCGACUGCGUGAAGUCGGAAUCGCUAGUAAUCGCGGAUCAGCAUGUCGCGGUGAAUACGUUCCCAGGUCUUGUACACACCGCCCGUCACACCAUGGGAGUGGGUUUUACCGAAGUAGUUAGCCUAACCGUAAGGAGGCGAUUACCACGACCAAGUUCAUGACUGGGGUGAAGUCGUAACAAGGUAG
rnacentral:rRNA from 1 species